UAGCUAGCCUUACCAGAUAAGGCCAUCGUUUCUGUGUCAAUGGUGUGGUAAUUGCAGGUGAGACAAGGGAUAUGAUUGGAACUUGAGCUUGGCUUCCAACUUCAGCCGCUAGAGUUGCUUCUUGCCAUAUGAUGUUCUUUGCAAAUGCUAUAGAUUGCUUACCAAGAGAGGUGACUCUGAAGGCUUCCUUGGUGGCGUUCCGGAAAUAGAGAGCCAGUUUACUCAUCUCCGUAGCCAUGAAAGAUAACACACGAGAUGAGCAGAAAAGAGAAUAGCCAAAAUCUUGAAAGUGUUCUAGGAAUAGUAAAAGAGAAACUCAUUUGGGAUUCUGAAGCUGAAAACAAACGUUGAGAAUGUUAUUU